UCCAAGCUCUAGGUAGGCGAAGUUUUCCCCCAAAUAUCUAGGGCAAAUGCAUAAAAUCCUCUUAUAAUCUUAAAAUCUCCCAUUUUUUCUUCAAUUCUACCAUUAAUAUUUCCUCAGGCAACAAUUGAUCUGCGCUCUGCAAAGGUGGGCAAUAUACUCGUAACACAGGCAGUGGGUUUUCAUCAGUCGUGCUCCUUUCUGAUCUUCAUGACCCUGCUAAAGGAUUUAUUAUAGAGGACACUUGUAUAAUUCAAGCUGAGAUUACUUUUGUUAUGUCUAAUGCUUUUAAUGUGGAGGUGCCUUUAAGUACUGCUGGAAAACCUUUUGAAGGAGACGGUGCAGUUGUAUUCUAUGAUGACAAUUUUGAAAUUGUGGGAAACUUCAGUGUUUUGAAAAGGCAAGCAUCUUGAUACAGAAAGAUUUGGCUGAAAUAUGGCCAUAUAGCUUCGACGAAAGUUGUGCCUGCCUCGUCAUACAAUAGCUUAGUCACUACGGUUGCGGAUAUUAUGAAUUCUGUUAGUGAUAUGUAUCGUUGCCGUCUUAUUGAGGUAUCUGCUGAAAUGAUUGGUGCAUGGGAAAAUAAAAUAAAAUUGGCCGAGGAGCUUCAGUUUAGUGUUAAAUGGCUUAGAGUCCGUCUCAAUGAUGUAAAAAGAGAUUUCAACAAUGGGCGGAUUGAGAAACUUAAGAGGGAAGCAGAGAAAAACCCAGGACUUUCACAGCCCCCGAAAGUGAAGGUGGAGAAUGAAGUUGUUGAUGAAUUCAAAGAGAUCAGCGUACCAGGCUUUGUGUUUGAAGGGAUGUUAUAAACCAGCCAACUGGGUGAGGUAACCUUUUACUUCCAAUCAUGAAGAAACUGAUAUUGUCAUUUGGUAGCUAGAAAAAAAAUCUGAAUUUAAGUGUUGUAGGAAAAUGAGUGUCUCUGAUAUUUGAAGGAUGUGCUUUUUGUCAUUGACUGCAAAAGUGCUUUGAAUUUUGUUAAUAGUCAGAUUAAGUCACCAGCUAUUGUGUAGAGUUUAGAAACUCUCUUCUGUGUAGUACUUUGUAAGAGUAACUUGUAGGCUGAUUGUUUAGCCUCUUUUGGUCAAUUCAGGUUCGUGGCAUCUCUCUCUUGGAUAGUUUACUUGCAAGGUAUUAACUACCACAUUUUGCAAUUUCUGGUUUCUUAAAUGAAGUUGUUUUCUCCGCCAAAAAAAUUGUGGUUGUUUCUACUUCAUGACUAGCUGUUUCUUAUGAUACCAUUAAUUAUUAGUUACUGCUAACUAAAUCUAGACUAAGAUAUUUUGGCAAUGACUUGGUUAUCUUACGUACUGUUGUUUUUCUUAUACCGUCUGUUUUUAGUUCUCAUUGAUGUAUCACAUGCCAGGCCCUUAAGUUUUUCCUAUUAGAUAUUUCCUCCUGUGCAAAGGCUCGGGUCUAGGAUGUCCUUACCUUCAUUUAAAAAAAUAAUAAUCUACCAGUAAUUAAACAUCCCAAUACUAGUAGCUGUAGGGCUUAAUCUACCUCUACCUCUCCAUCUUCCUUUUUUUUUUUGAGAACUACAUGCUACCUGGUGUGUCUCUCCCUAUCCUCUCUUAUGUUGCAGGAAAGAUUAUACUGACGAUGUGUACAAGAGAGUAUUACAGUAUGAGCCAGCAGAAGCAUUAAGCAUCUGUCCAGGGAAGCUUAGAUGCAGUUGAGGAAAUCAACCAAACAGGCUAGCAUUUCCUGUUGCAAAUCUGAUAUGUCAGUCAAGUCAGCCUUGAUAUGCCAAGUCUUGCAAAUCUGAACCUCUAACUACAGAUGGUUAUCAGGUGGACUGCGGACUCCAACGUGUCCUAUUAUAAAUUACCAAAUUCAGAACAUGAGGUCCUAAAUCAGGAUGAUAAGAUCUUUUUUAAAUAGUCUUCCACUCAGGUACCCAACACAUUGUUUCUGUAACCAUCGGCUCAUUGCUUCAUUCCUCUGUAUAAGUUUUUGGUAAUGAGGAAUAUACCUUUUCUUAAAAGAGAAGAAAAAGCAGAAACAGAUGUGGGUAUGUCGAAAGUGUUGAGCCUCCCAGAAGAGAUUCAGGUAAAUAUCUUUUGAAAGUUACCAGUGAGUUCAAUUUUAAUUUGUACGUGGGUACGCAUGCAAACCCCAGCGUAAUCUUAUUCGUAGUUAUAACCCGUAAGUUUAUUAGGUAUCACCUUACUCUUAGCGCUCAGAAAAAUAACCCUGGUUUCAUGGUCGGAAUUUGAACUCACAAAGUAGUAAACCCAAUAUUUUCACCACAGAUUAUGCAUCGAUAUCUUCCUCAGCAUCGUGGUCAUCAGGAUUACAUGAUGUAUGCAUGGGUGGAAGCUAUCCAAAUGGAUUACCCGUUUAAGUUAAUUAAGUUAAAAGAGUUGGGAUUCUUGGUUCCUGUAACAGUCUGAUUUUUUCUUAGGUACUUUGGGUACUAGUAGAAGUGAAUUUGAUGAAUGCAGGGAGAAGCUUCUGACUCGAAGGAUGAAAGACUACAGAAUGCCCGACUCUUGGACUAGAUAUGGCAAAAUUUCCACUUCGCAAGCUUCUCUGAUCUUUAGAAGAUGCUGCAAGAGAACGGAACGAAUAGAGAGACUAGCUGCACUUAAUAAUUCCAGUACUUGACAUUUCUCUUUUCUUAUGAUUUUGCAUUUUGAUUUUUUGAUUUUUUGAUUUGAUUGUUUUGAUUUUAUUUUGCAUUUCUUUUUACCUAGGCUUAUUCAUGUAACCAUAUAUUAUUUUUAGUAGGAAUUACCAAUAGGUACCAUUAUAGUGUUCUUAGUUAGUGGCAGGUCCACCCAUUAAAGCCCACUAAUCAGAGGUCCAUAAUUAAAAGAAAACAUGAAAAUGAACCAAAUUUUUUAAGCCCAGGUCCUGUACACGUGUGGAACAUAUGAGGACGUAUUUUUAAAUACCGAAAAUACCCUUAAGUAUAUAAAGCAGUAACCAAAUCCAUUUCUUCUUCAUUUCUCGAUCUAUUCUUCUUCU